GCGUAUGAAGUACGUUUCACCUCGGUGACAGGGAGACAGGUGGUGCAUGGUUGUCGUCAGCUCGUGUCGUGAGAUGUUGGGUUAAGUCCCGCAACGAGCGCAACCCCUACGUUAGUUGCUAACGCGUGAAGGCGAGCACUCUAGACGAACUGCCGUUGACAAACGGAGGAAGUGGGGAUGACGUCAAAUCAUCAUGCCCCUUAUGUUCUGGGCUACACACGUGCUACAAUGGCCGGUACAGACGGACGCAAAGCCGCGAGGUGGAGCAAAUCCUAAAAAGCCGGUCUCAGUUCGGAUUGCAGGCUGCAAUUCGCCUGCAUGAAGUCGGAAUCGCUAGUAAUCGCAGGUCAGCAUACUGCGGUGAAUACGUUCCCGGGCCUU
rnacentral:rRNA from 1 species